AGAAGAGAAAGAGAGCUUUCUUCGGUCCACUCACGGGCUACGAUAAGAUAUCAAUUAGCUGCCGACUCAUUCACCCAAAUACUAAGCCAAAACUAUCUAUGGGGCUCAGUAAAUGAUUGAAUGAUGCGGGAGACAAAUUGAAUCUUAAGUUUCCUAUAAUUGGACUGAAGGGAGCUCCCUUUUGUUUCAAA
rfam:Helianthus annuus linkage group 13, whole genome shotgun sequence.